UACGUAGGGGGCAAGCGUUGUCCGGAUUUACUGGGCGUAAAGAGCGCGUAGGCGGAACGUUAAGCGGGGCCGGAAAGCCCCCGGCUCAACCGGGGAAGGGGCCGCGAACUGGCGUUCUUGAGGGGGAGAGGGGAGAGGCGGAAUUCCUGGUGUAGCGGUGAAAUGCGUAGAGAUCAGGAGGAACACCCAUGGCGAAGGCAGCUCUCUGGCUUCACCCUGACGCUGAGGCGCGAAAGCGUGGGGAGCGAACGGG
rnacentral:rRNA from 1 species